rnacentral:lncRNA from 1 species
GUCGUGUCGCACACAGUCGGUACGUAGCCGAGCUUGCCAAUCCAAGAACUCUCACGUCCUCUCGUGAAUAUCUUCUUCUUUUUUUCCAGAAAAUGAUCAGACUUUAUUCAUCGAGGGAGUGGUACGUUACAUCGGAUCGGAGAGGAGACUAAAACACACCCAAACAACAGAGAUCUACAACCAGAAGUUUUAUCGAUCGAAGUCCCUCAAGUCAGUGCCUCUGGCUUCGUCAUCUUUUCUCCAGGCAUCCGACGACGAAGAAACAACGGAAUACCAAAUAGUCACAUAACUUUCAUAAGUACGUUUUGAAGUACGUGCCCAAAAACUAACGCUGUCCUGGUAACGUCGAUUAUGUAGAUAAUUUUUCCUAAAACGCCGACUAAACAGCUUAAUUAAGAUAUCACAUACAAUAUCCAUCUAACAAUCUAACAAGUUUUUUUUUUGUUUUGAGAAUGACAAUCUUUUUCUUUUUUUGAGGGGAUUGAGAAUGACAAUCUAACCAGUACUGUGAGCAUGGUGACUGUGGGUCUCCUAUGACUAAUGGCGGGGCCGGGUUGAGCCAGCGCGUCCAAAUUCAUGCCUGAGGCUGAACCAGUUCUUAUUGGGCCGAAUACUUUUACCUUAUACCUCUUGUUUUCGUGAGAUUAAAGAGAAUACAUGAGCUUCUAGUCUCAGACCCAGGCCUGAAACCUGGGUAGCCUU